CCUACGGGUGGCAGCAGUGGGGAAUAUUGCACAAUGGGGGAAACCCUGAUGCAGCGACGCCGCGUGAGUGAAGACGUAAUUCGUUAUGUUAAGCUCUAUCAGCAGGGAAGAAAAUGACGGUACCUGAGUAAGAAGCCCCGGCUAACUACGUGCCAGAAGCCGCGGUAAUACGUAGGGGGCAAGCGUUAUCCGGAUUUACUGGGUGUAAAGGGGGCGUAGGCGGCAGAGCAAGUCUGGAGUGAAAGGCGGGGGCUCAACCCCCGGACUGCUCUGGAAACUGUACGGCUGGAGUGUAGGAGAGGUAGGAGGAAUUCAUGGUGUAGCGGUGAAAUGCGUAGAUAUCAGAAGGAACACCAGUGGCGAAGGCGGCUUACUAAACUAUAACUGACGUUGAGGCUCGAAAGCGUGGGGAGCAAACAGGAUUAGAUACCCCGGUAGUC
rnacentral:rRNA from 1 species